CCGCGUGUGUGUCUGUGUGUAUAUAUAUAUAUACACAUAUAUAUAUAUAUGUGUAUAUAUAUAUAUACACACAUAUAUAUAUAUAUAUAUACAUAUAUAUAUUCACAGACACACACACUG